CAUUAGUGAAUCUUCAAAGUCGGCUCGUCGGAUUGUGCUGGUGGAGACACAUGUGCACGUCUACGAGUCGCAAACCCACACACCUGUGCAUCUAUGACUCUGAGCGCCGCUUUGCAUGGCCCCUUGAUUUGGGCCUGGCGCUCGAGUACUUUCACACACUCUCGAAUGUAACGGAAUGUCUUGUUGUGCAUAACGUACAAACAGAAACAACUUUCAACAACGGAUCUCUUGGCUCUCGCAUCGAUGAAGAACGCAGCGAAAUGCGAUAAGUAAUGUGAAUUGCAGAAUUCAGUGAAUCAUCGAAUCUUUGAACGCACAUUGCGCCCCUUGGUAUUCCGAGGGGCAUGCCUGUUCGAGCGUCAUUACAACCCUCAAGCACUGCUUGGUGUUGGGCCUCGCCGGUUUUGGCGGGCCUUAAAAUCAGUGGCGGUGCCGUCUGGGUUCUGAGCGUAGUAAAUAUCCUCGCUACGGAGACCAGGCGGUUCUUGUCAUCAACCCCCAACUUCUUAAGUUUGACCUCGGAUCAGGUAGGGAUACCCGCUGAACUUAAGCAUAUC
rnacentral:sRNA from 1 species